rnacentral:rRNA from 1 species
AGUGAACGCUGGCGGCAGGCCUAAUACAUGCAAGUCGAACGGCAGCACAGCAGAGCUUGCUCUGUGGGUGGCGAGUGGCGGACGGGUGAGGAAUACAUGGGAAUCUGCCCAGUCGUGGGGGAUAACGUAGGGAAACUUACGCUAAUACCGCAUGCGCCCUUCGGGGGAAAGCCGGGGACCUUCGGGCCUGGCGCGAUUGGAUGAGCCCAUGUCGGAUUAGCUAGUUGGCGGGGUAAAGGCCCACCAAGGCGACGAUCCGUAGCUGGUCUGAGAGGAUGAUCAGCCACACUGGAACUGAGACACGGUCCAGACUCCUACGGGAGGCAGCAGUAGGGAAUAUUGGACAAUGGGCGCAAGCCUGAUCCAGCCAUGCCGCGUGAGUGAAGAAGGCCCUCGGGUUGUAAAGCUCUUUUGUCCGGAAAGAAAAGCGCCGGGUUAAUACCCUGGUGUCCUGACGGUACCGGAAGAAUAAGCACCGGCUAACUUCGUGCCAGCA